rnacentral:lncRNA from 14 species
CACAGUAGCCGGCACCCCAGGGGAACCCCGGGAACCCGGGAAGAGCCUCGAUCCUAUCUCGCAUGGCAGAGCAUUAGAUCGAAGCUCCCAGGGGAAACAGAAAAGAAUGUACAAACAGGACAGAGGAAGAACACCAAAACCAC